UGUGUGUGUGUGUGUGUGUGUGUGUGUGUGUGUUUGGAAGCUGUAGGUCAUCUUAGGUAUUGUUUCCUAGGAGCCAUCUCCAGCUUGUUUGUUGAGACAGGGUUGCCCAUUGGUCUGUAUUUCUGAUUAGUGGAGACUAACUGGUUAUAGAGUCCCAGGACUCAAACUGUCCCUGCCUCUCCGGCCCUGGGAUUGCAGGUGAAACCCAUCGCUCCUGUCUUUUUACGUGGGUAUCUGGGGUUGGAGUCAGGUCUUCAUGCUUAUGCAGCAGACACCUUACUGACUGAGCUCUCUCUUUAGCCCUGCAACCACAUUCUCACAGAAGUAUGUUACGAAUAUUUUCCCCUGGACCCAGGAAGCAAAGCAUUAAACUCUGCCUGGCCUUUGAAAGGAAAUGACUACUAUUUAUAUCUCAGGGUAGCAUGAGGGUAACCUACAUUACCAGAGCUGGAGCCAGAGAGAAUGUUAGAAAAAUAGCCUGUGGGUGGCUUUUCUGCUUCUUUCAUCAGGCUUUGUCUGUAUUAAUAAGUUAAACCUGUGUGACCGACGGAUGCAACCGUCUUUCAUCGUGGAGAAGAUGAAUUUGCCUUUUGUUUAUCUUAGAGGUGGAACCUCUGUGUAUCAUGCCCACUGCUGUAGGAAGUUCCUCAGGCUCCUAAGCAAAUUCAUGUCUCUGGAGUCACUUGUUUCUUUGAACAGAGCAAAAUGAUUCUCAGUCUCUUCCUUUUGUUCUGUCUGUCUCCGUUUCUCCCUUGUCCCAUCCAACCUCUUGCUUCUACGACAGGCAAACCUCCUCCUUAAUAAUUGUUUUCUUACCAAAGUAGUUAGUUUGGAAUGUCUUGUCUGGACCCACAGACACUCAAUUAGGAGUGGAGUGUUCUGCAGAAAUCCUCAAGGCCUGACAGUUAAGGAAGAAGGAAGCAUCAAUAUUUAUUAGAGGAGGGACAGACAGUGUUGGGCAGAGACUCUGACUCUGUGUGUGUACAUUGUUGUUGUGUUGCCUAAACUACACUGUAACAACAACAACCC
rnacentral:lncRNA from 1 species